GACGAACGCUGGCGGCGUGCUUAACACAUGCAAGUCGAACGGAAAGGCCCUGCUUUUGUGGGGUGCUCGAGUGGCGAACGGGAGAGUAACACGUGAGUAACCUGCCCUUGACUUUGGGAUAACUUCAGGAAACUGGGGCUAAUACCGGAUAGGAGCUCCUGCUGCAUGGUGGGGGUUGGAAAGUUUCGGCGGUUGGGGAUGGACUCGCGGCUUAUCAGCUUGUUGGUGGGGUAGUGGCUUACCAAGGCUUUGACGGGUAGCCGGCCUGAGAGGGUGACCGGCCACAUUGGGACUGAGAUACGGCCCAGACUCCUACGGGAGGCAGCAGUGGGGAAUAUUGCGCAAUGGGCGGAAGCCUGAUGCAGCAACGCCGCGUGCGGGAUGACGGCCUUCGGGUUGUAAACCGCUUUCGCCUGUGACGAAGCGUGAGUGACGGUAAUGGGUAAAGAAGCACCGGCUAACUACGUG
rnacentral:rRNA from 1 species